rnacentral:rRNA from 1 species
AAACUAACAAGGAUUCCCCUAGUAACGGCGAGUGAAGCGGNAUGAGCUCAAAUUUGUAAUCUGGUGGACUCAGUUCAUCCGAGUUGUAAUCUAUAGAAGUGUUUUCCGCGCUGGNCCGUGUCUAAGUCCCUUGGACCAGGGUGUCAGAGAGGGUGAGAAUCCCGUGCUUGAUACGACCACCAGUGCUAUGUGAUACACUUUCAACGAGUCGAGUUGUUUGGGAAUGCAGCUCAAAAUGGGUGGUAAAUUCCAUCUAAAGCUAAAUAUUGGCGAGAGACCGAUAGCGAACAAGUACCGUGAGGGAAAGAUGAAAAACACUUUGGAAAGAGAGUUAAACAGUACGUGAAAUUGUUAAAAGGGAAACGAUUGAAGUCAGUCGUGCUCUCUGGGACUCANCCGGUUCUUCCGGUGUACUUCCCAGUGAGCGGGUCAACAUCAGUUUAGAUCGCUGGAUAAAGGUAUUAGGAAGGUGGCUCCCUCGGGAGUGUUAUAGCCUAGUAUCGCAUACAGUGGUUUAGACUGAGNAACGCAGCUCGCCUUUAUGGCCGGNGGUCGCCCACNNCCNAGCUUANGAUGUUGACAUAAUGGCNUUNAACGAC